UACGAAGGGGGCUAGCGUUGCUCGGAAUCACUGGGCGUAAAGCGCACGUAGGCGGAUUGUUAAGUCAGGGGUGAAAUCCUGGAGCUCAACUCCAGAACUGCCUUUGAUACUGGCGAUCUUGAGUCCGGGAGAGGUGAGUGGAACUCCGAGUGUAGAGGUGAAAUUCGUAGAUAUUCGGAAGAACACCAGUGGCGAAGGCGGCUCACUGGCCCGGUACUGACGCUGAUGUGCGAAAGCGUGGGGAGCAAACA
rnacentral:rRNA from 1 species